rnacentral:rRNA from 1 species
CGACGUAAAGAACUUGCCUCACAGCUAGGGACAACAUUUAGAAAUGAAUGCUAAUACCUGAUAUUAUGAUUUUAAGGCAUCUUAGAAUUAUGAAAGCUAUAAGCACUGUGAGAGAGCUUUGCGUCCCAUUAGCUAGUUGGAGAGGUAACAGCUCACCAAGGCGAUGAUGGGUAGCCGGCCUGAGAGGGUGAACGGCCACAAGGGAACUGAGACACGGCCCUU